GACGAACCGUGCGAACGUUGUUCGGAAUCACUGGGCAUAAAGGGCGCGUAGGCGGCUUAACAAGUCACUUGUGAAAUCUCCGGGCUUAACUCGGAAAGGUCAGCCGAUACUGCGGGCUAGAGUGCAGAAGGGGCAACUGGAAUUCUCGGUGUAGCGGUGAAAUGCGUAGAUAUCGAGAGGAACACCUGCGGCGAAGGCGGGUAGCUGGGCCAAUAUUGACGCUGAGGUGCGAAAGCGUGGGGAGCGAACAGG
rnacentral:rRNA from 1 species